AAUAUUUGACAAUGGGGGCAACCCUGAUCCAGCCAUGCCGCGUGUGUGAAGAAGGUCUUCGGAUUGUAAAGCACUUUAAGUUGGGAGGAAGGGCUGUAGGCUAAUACCCUGAAGUCUUGACGUUACCAACAGAAUAAGCACCGGCUAACUCGGUGCCAUCAGCCGCGGUAAUACAGAGGGUGCAAGUGUGAAUCGGAAUUACUGGGCGUAAAGCGCGCGUAGGUGGUUCAGUAAGAUGGGUGUGAAAUCCCCGGGCUUAACCUGAGAACUGCUUUCAUAACUGCUGAGCUAGAGUACGGUAGGGGGUAGUGGAAUUUCCUGAGUAGCGGUGAAAUGCGUAGAUAUAGGAAGGAACACCAGUGGCGAAGGCGACUACCUGGACUGGUACUGACACUGAGGUGCGAAAGCGUGGGGAGCAAACA
rnacentral:rRNA from 1 species